rnacentral:snRNA from 1 species
GACUAUAUUCAGAUGUCUUUG